AUUGUGACAUAUAUGUGCUUUGUGUGCAGGAAAAGAUUUCUUCUGAUCUUGGGUUUUUUAGUUGAAAUUUAUCUUCGGUUGAAUUACCAAGGUUGUAUUUUAUGUGAAGUCAUGAAUACAUUUUUUAAGUUAAAAUAAUUAAUUUUAUUCUUGCUUUUUCAUUGUAGGCAAAGUUUACAAGGAAGAAACACAAAAGUUGCAGUGGUUCUGAUUCAGAAGAAAACCCCUUUGCCCCCAGGAGAAGAUGUCAUUGCUUCCGAAAGGGCUGCAGCUUUAUGCAAUGCAUGUGAACUCUCAGGGAAGUCUUUGUUUGUACUGCCGCACACUGACCACCUUGUGGGUUAUAUUAUAAGAUUGGAAAAUGCCUUUUAUGAACAUGCACAGACUUAUUACUACACUGAGAUCAGAAGAGUGAAAUCUCAUAAAGAAUUUUUGAAUAAAACAACACACCAGCUUUUAUUUGUUAGGCAUCAGUUCAAAAUAGCUUUCUUCAGUGAGUUGAAACAAGAUACACAAAAUGCGCUGAAGAAUUAUAGGACCGCCUA
rnacentral:sRNA from 1 species